rnacentral:rRNA from 1 species
CCUACGGGAGGCAGCAGUGAGGAAUAUUGGUCAAUGGGCGCGAGCCUGAACCAGCCAAGUCGCGUGAGGGAAGACGGUCCUAUGGAUUGUAAACCUCUUUUGUCGGGGAGCAAAAGACGCCACGCGUGGCGUUCCGAGAGUACCCGAAGAAAAAGCCUCGGCUAACUCCGUGCCAGCAGCCGCGGUAAUACGGAGGAUGCGAGCGUUAUCCGGAUUUAUUGGGUUUAAAGGGUGCGCAGGCGGAAGAUCAAGGCAGCGGUAAAAUUGAGAGGCUCAACCUCUUCGAGCCGUUGAAACUGGUUUGCUUGAGUGAGCGAGAAGUAUGCGGAAUGCGUGGUGUAGCGGUGCAAUGCAUAGAUAUCACGCAGAACUCCGAUUGCGAAGGCAGCAUACCGGCGCUCAACUGACGCUCAUGCACGAAAGUGUGGGUAUCGAACAGGAUUAGAUACCCGGGUAGUC